rnacentral:rRNA from 1 species
GAUGAACGCUGGCGGCGUGCCUAAUACAUGCAAGUCGAGCGAACAGACGAGGAGCUUGCUCCUCUGACGUUAGCGGCGGACGGGUGAGUAACACGUGGAUAACCUACCUAUAAGACUGGGAUAACUUCGGGAAACCGGAGCUACUACCGGAUAAUAUAUUGAACCGCAUGGUUCAAUAGUGAAAGACGGUUUUGCUGUCACUUAUAGAUGGAUCCGCGCCGCAUGAGCUAGUUGGUAAGGUAACGGCUUACCAAGGCGACGAUGCGUAGCCGACCUGAGAGGGUGAUCGGCCACACUGUAACUGAGGCACGGUCCAGACUCCUACGGGAGGCAGCAGUAGGGAAUCUUCCGCAAUGGGCGAAAGCCUGACGGAGCAACACCGCGUGAAUGAUGAAGGUCUUCGGAUCGUAGAGCUCUGUUAUUAGGGAAGAAGAAAUGUGUAAGUAACUAUGCACGUCUUGACGGUACCUAAUCAGAAAGCCACGGCUAACUACGUG